rnacentral:lncRNA from 1 species
GAUCUUAUUCCUAAACGGUAUCUUUCAAGUUUAAUCUUUUUUAAGAUCUUUGUUGACCUCUUGCAAGGAAGAUACACUCAUAAUUGAUUUGAGACAAUAUUGAAACCCUAGUCCAUGCUAUAUAAAAGGAUCAAUUAUGAAGAAGAAUACACAACACAACAACACAAAAAACCUUACGAACUCAAAAAAAAAAUUCUAAGUAUUCAGUUUCAAGUUUUCAAUUUCAAAGAAAAGGUACUCAUUCAAUUUAUAUUACUUAGUGCUCUAUUUUAAGUAAUUCAUUUUAAUCAUUUUUCUUAGAAGAAGCAACACAAAAUCAAGUUUCACCCCUUUGUAACCUAGUCGAGUAGUGACUAUUUUUCUUAAACGACUUGUAGGUUUUUUAAAUUGGAAGUUGAGAAGACUGACUUGUAGGGUGAGGUAUUGUAAUUCAAGUUUUAAAUUAGUGGAUAAAUCAUUAUGUGUGAGGGAAAAUGAUGUACUUGGCACUUUGUUUUCUUU